AUUGAACGCUGGCGGCAGGCCUAACACAUGCAAGUCGAACGAGUGGGGGACGGGUGAGUAAUAUCUGGGAAACUUCGCGCUGGCGGGGGAUAAAUACUGGAAACGGUAGCUCCAACCGCCCACCCGCGGAUGUGCCCAGAUGGGAUUAGCUAGUAGGUGGGGGAACGGCGCACCAAGGCGACGACCCCUAGCUGGUCUGAGAGGAUGACCAGCCACACCGGAACUGAGACACGGUCCAGACUCCUACGGGAGGCAGCAGUGGGGAAUAUUGCACAAUGGGCGCAAGCCUGAUGCAGCCAUGCCGCGUGUAUGAAGAAGGCCUUCGGGUUGUAAAGUACUUUCAGCGAGGAGGCGUUACUCGCAGAAGAAGCACCGGCUAACUCCGUGCCAGCAGCCGCGGUAAUUC
rnacentral:rRNA from 1 species